UACGUAGGGAGCGAGCGUUGUCCGGAAUUAUUGGGCGUAAAGGGCUCGUAGGCGGUUUGUCGCGUCGGGAGUGAAAACCUCGGGCUUAACUCGGGGCUUGCUUUCGAUACGGGCAGACUGGAGGUAUGCAGGGGAGAACGGAAUUCCUGGUGUAGCGGUGAAAUGCGCAGAUAUCAGGAGGAACACCGGUGGCGAAGGCGGUUCUCUGGGCAUGACCUGACGCUGAGGAGCGAAAGUGUGGGGAGCGAACAGG
rnacentral:rRNA from 1 species